rnacentral:rRNA from 1 species
GUGCCAGCAGCCGCGGUAAUACGUAGGGUGCGAGCGUUAAUCGGAAUUACUGGGCGUAAAGCGUGCGCAGGCGGUUAUAUAAGACAGUUGCGAAAUCCCCGGGCUUAACCUGGGAAUGGCGCUUGUGACUGCACGACUGGAGUGCGGCAGAGGGGGAUGGAAUUCCGCGUGUAGCAGUGAAAUGCGUAGAUAUGCGGAGGAACACCGAUGGCGAAGGCAGUCCCCUGGGCCUGCACUGACGCUCAUGCACGAAAGCGUGGGGAGCAAACAGGAUU